GACGAGCGCUGGCGGCGUGCUUAACACAUGCAAGUCGAACGAUGAAGCCGGAGCUUGCUCUGGUGAAUUAGUGGCGAACGGGUGAGUAACACGUGAGUAACCUGCCCUUGACUCUGGGAUAACUGCUAGAAAUGGUAGCUAAUACCGGAUACGACCCUCGGAGGCAUCUCCAGGGGGUGGAAAGAAUUUCGGUCAAGGAUGGACUCGCGGCCUAUCAGCGAGUUGGUGAAGUAACGGCUCACCAAGGCGACGACGGGUAGCCGGCCUGAGAGGGUGACCGGCCACACUGGGACUGAGACACGGCCCAGACUCCUACGGGAGGCAGCAGUGGGGAAUAUUGCACAAUGGGCGCAAGCCUGAUGCAGCAACGCCGCGUGAGGGAUGACGGCCUUCGGGUUGUAAACCUCUUUUAGUAGGGAAGAAGCGAAAGUGACGGUACCUGCAGAAAAAGCACCGGCUAACUACGUGCCAGCAGCCGCGGUAA
rnacentral:rRNA from 1 species